AGAUUGAACGCUGGCGGCAGGCCUAACACAUGCAAGUCGAGCGGCAGCACGGGUACUUGUACCUGGUGGCGAGCGGCGGACGGGUGAGUAAUGCCUAGGAAUCUGCCUGGUAGUGGGGGAUAACGCUCGGAAACGGACGCUAAUACCGCAUACGUCCUACGGGAGAAAGCAGGGGACCUUCGGGCCUUGCGCUAUCAGAUGAGCCUAGGUCGGAUUAGCUAGUUGGUGAGGUAAUGGCUCACCAAGGCGACGAUCCGUAACUGGUCUGAGAGGAUGAUCAGUCACACGUGGAACUGAGACGACGGUCCAGACUCCGUACGGGAGCAGCAGGUGGGAAUUAGUUGGACAAGUGGGACGAAAGCCUAGACUCCGA
rnacentral:rRNA from 1 species